GACUUCCAUCAGGGCUCUUGGUGGUUUACUAACAAAAGCCCCGUCCAGCAGCUGCUUCAUUUUAUUCUCACAGUUAGUUCCCCAGUGCAGUGGGCAGGGGCAGAUGUGUUUAUUAUGAGUUGCAGCUGCAGAGGUUCAGAGCAUUCAGUGAACUGCCUGAAAGCCACACACUCAUCUGGGGCAGAGGAGCCCUGGUAACCCGCGACACCAGCUCUGAGCAAGGCCAGCUGGGAGAGUGCAGUGCUUUCCAUCACCCCAGAGCAUCUUCAUUCUUCUCGGCUUCUGAGAGGUCCUGGCAGAGGGAAUGGCUAACGCCAACUCAAACUAUUUCUGAAAAGCCUUCCCGGGGACAAAGUGGAGGUGUGUGUAGGGCUCCUCGGCCGGGCUCUCAGAGGCAGGUGAGAUGCAAGAUAAAGCAAUCGCUUUGCAGCCACCUUUGACGUAAGGUUUGAUAUUCUCAAGAUCACUAAGAGCAGAGGUUGGCAAACCAUGGCCAUUGGACCAAAUCAGCUCACUGUCUGUUUCUGUAAAUAA
rnacentral:lncRNA from 9 species